GGAUUGCUUGCCCUCCUCUAAAUUCUGCGCCAUACUCCACAACUCCCCAUCUUCCUUUUGAGCUUCUUUGACCCGCGAGAUAAGAGAGGGCUCCACUCUCAUACCCGCCAAAAGCCCAUCUGAAUCUCGUACAUACAACUCCAACUCAAUCCGCUCCAUAUCCGAAAUAAGCUGAGGUUGUGUAAUAAGGGCUGCUACACU
rnacentral:lncRNA from 1 species